rnacentral:rRNA from 1 species
GAUGAACGCUGGCGGCGUGCCUAAUACAUGCAAGUCGAGCGAACGGACGAGAAUCUUGCUUCUCUGAUGUUAGCGGCGGACGGGUGAGUAACACGUGGAUAACCUACCUAUAAGACUGGGAUAACUUCGGGAAACCGGAGCUAAUACCGGAUAAUAUUUUGAACCGCAUGGUUCAAAAGUGAAAGACGUUCUUGCUGUCACUUAUAGAUGUAUCCGCGCUGCAUUAGCUAGUUGGUAAGGUAACGGCUUACCAAGGCAACGAUGCAUAGCCGACCUGAGAGGAUGAUCGGCCACACUGGAACUGAGACACGGUCCAGACUCCUACGGGAGGCAGCAGUAGGGAAUCUUCCGCAAUGGGCGAAAGCCUGACGGAGCAACGCCGCGUGAGUGAUGAAGGUCUUCGGAUCGUAAAACUCUGUUAUUAGGGAAGAACAUAUGUGUAAGUAACUGUGCACAUCUUGACGGUACCUAAUCAGAAAGCCACGGCUAACUACGUG